UGAUGUUUUUGGAGACAAGUACGCUGAUGAGAGAAUGUGGAAGAGGCUUUUGUACAGUGUGCAAGAAAAAUACUUAACAAAAUUGAAUAAGUGGGCCCAGUGAGCUGCAGGAGGAUGCAGGGACUGCAGGGCUGUCACAGGCACUGACGGAGCAGGGUUUCCCUCCUGGUGGUGCUGACCUGUCUGACUGCCGAGAGCCGAUCAGAAGCGCCACCUCCCUGUCUGCCGAGCCUGAGGUCCAGUCUGUUCUGGAUGGAGCAGCAGGUGCUUGUGGGGACACUGGAGACCUGUCAUCACCAGGGCGGACAGAGUCCCUGGUCUGCUGAAGAUCAUCUUCCUACUGAAGAGAUUAUAGAUAAUCACCUAAUAUACUUCUUUUGUGAUUCUGUUACAUAUAAUUUAUCCUUUGUGUUUCUUUGUCACCUGAGACCAGUCAUUGAUUGAAAACUGAGUAUAAAUAAUAGAACUGGAUCAGGCAUAGUGGAUCCAGCCUGUAAUUUCAGCACUUUGGGAGGUCUAGGAGAUAGAUCACUUGAGGCCAAGAGUUCAAGACCAGCCUGGGCAACAUAAUACCACAGCAUUUCUACAAAUAAUAUUAACAAUAAUAAUAAUAAAUGAGCUCUGGGUACUGGUGGGCACCCGUUGUCAUAGCUACUCAGGAAGCUGAUGCAGGAGGAUCCCUUGAGCCCAGGAGUCUGGGGCUGCCGUGAGCUGUGUUCAUGGCCCUGCACGCCAGCCUGGACGACACAGCAAGACCCUCUUCUUAAAGAACAAAAUAUAGGGCUAAGAACUAUAGAACUGUGAUAAAAGAUAUGUCCCAGGAUGGAGACAUCUGAGAUGUUUUAACAGUGGAAAUAGCCAUGUUGGAUCCCAAAUCCCAGAAACAGAGAUGUGAGUUCCUGGUGGUAGAGCUCGGUGCUUUGGACAGGGAAGCUGAGGCCCAGGCUUGUGAGGUGGCCCUGCUGCCAGCAAGGGGUGAGGGAGCUGGGGAGAAUCUCUUAGUCCUUCUGGGCCUCAGUUUCCCCAUCAGGAAGUGAAGGUUCCAACUGCACCUCUCCCAGGGACCUUCCUGCAGGGUUUGCUCUGAGUCUCUGUGGGCAGAGCUGUGGUAAAGGUGCCCUGCGACCCGCAGUGGAGACCUGACCUUGGUCCCUACUGUGACUAUCUCCUGCAGGGCCCUGAGCUGAGGCCACACCCUGAGAACUCAGAACUGAGGGAGCAGAUGGAGGAAGGGGAGCGGGCAGGUUGGGGGAUGAGAAUGACCGAAACAAGGACAUGGGAACGGUGGUGCAGGUGGACACACACGGGUUGAGAAAGGUCUGGUGGCAGCCCAGGGAACGGGCGGAGAGGUCACAGACACGUCAUCCCCAUGACGCAGUGAACAGGAAGGGAAUUCCUGAGAGCAGUCCCGGUGUCACCAGACCCCCACAGGGGACUGUCCCUGAGUUCUGAUACUGUAGGGCAGGGGUCUCUCUACAGAAGGAGACGUGCAGCUCCCUGGCAGGAAGGAGGGUGUCUCUCACAGAACACUCAGGGAAGGAGUGUAGACGGGGUGCUGGAGUCAGAAACCACUUUUAUUCAGUCACUGACGACCACUGCGGGGAGCCCCCUGGUGCCGGGCCUGAGUGGGAACCGUGAACACGGAGUUGGUGAAACCGUGUCCCAGCAUCCACGGAGCUCUCAGGCCGCCAGGCCGUGCAUCGUGGCAAGUGUGGUCACGGUGAGGGAGGGUCCCAUGGGGUGUGGGGGUGACCUCAGUGGCUGUCCUGGUCCCCCUUCUGUUUG